rnacentral:RNase_P_RNA from 1 species
CCAGCCGGCCGGGCGGCCGCACCAGCAAGAGUCGAAAGGCUGCGGGUGAGGAAAGUCCGGGCUCCAUGGAGACACGGUGCCGGCUAACGGCCGGCGGGGGCGACCCCAGGGAAAGUGCCACAGAAAGCAAACCGCCGCGGUUUUCCGCGGCAAGGGUGAAAGGGUGGGGUAAGAGCCCACCGCGCGGCCGGCAACGGAAGCGGCAAGGCAAACCCCACCGGGAGCAAAACCGAAUAGGGGCGGUAUGAGGGGAAACCUUCAGGGCUGUUUCCGGCUCACCGCCCGGGUAGGUUGCGUGAGGCGCAUGGCAACAUGCGCCCAAGAUGAAUGGCCGCCACGUUCCCGCUCCGCAAGGGGUGGGGGCCAUACAGAACCCGGCUUACAGGCCGGCUGGCAUU